rnacentral:lncRNA from 1 species
UGCUCACUUAUCACUGUGCUCGGGCCACACAGCGCGCCACUUACGGGUGACGCCCUAGUUUUAGCGCGAUUUCGUUCUGGAUUCAUUUUCAUAAGGAUUUGACGUAAUCAUGGAGUGUCGGUUGUCGACUACCUGACGUCCUCCCCCUCCUCCUUUAUCCGGGCUUGGGACUGGCAAUGUAAGAUAAACUUACACGGCGGAGUUUCCCCCAGAAAAAUAAAUAAAUAAACAAAAUUAUGGAAUUGAAAACAACUUUAAACAGCUUUUAAUUUUUGACUUUUAGUUUUCAUUCUGUAUAUUUGUCACAUAUAUCUUCUGCCAUCCUUUGUCACUUUUUUAUCUCUCUCAUAAUCUCACGUAAACUUGCCCCUUAUCUCUAGCACAAAAUGAAAACUAAAACUUAAAGCCAAAAUCGUUAUCAAAUAAACCCUUAAUUUGUCAUGUUUUUCAACCCAACCCCAAAAACCUAGAUAAGCACCCUAAUUGUUGAGAAUGAAUCCCACAUUAAUGAGAUGAGGGACAUUGCUUGUGCUUAUAAGUUGUUGGGCUACUCCCAUAUUGCCAAUUGGUUUUAUGGUGGAACCUCAACCUUUUCAUCGUAUCAGAGCAGGUUGUCCCACGUAUGAAGCCCAACGGCCACACACGCUCCACGUCACCCCGUUGUGUUGUCCAUGUGUUAGGCUUAAAAAUUCGCCACAUGUGAAGGGGCAUGUUGAGAAUGAGUCCCACAUUUAUGGAAUGAGGGACCUUGCAUGGGCUUAUAAGUUGGUUUACUUCCCAUAUUGUCAAUUGGUUUUAUGGUGGAACCUCAACUUUCUUCAUGGUAUCAGAGCAGGUUGUCUCAUAUGUGAAGCUCAAUGGCCACACGUGCUUCACAUCACCCCGUUGUGUUGUCCACGUGUUAGGCUUGAAAAUUCACCACACGUGAGGAGGGGUGUGUUGAGAAUGAAUCCUACAUUGAUGAGAAGAAGGACCUUGCAUGUGCUCAUGAAUAAUUGGACUACUCCCCAUAUUACCAAUUUGUUUUUGGUGAAACCUCAACUUUCUUCACUUAUCAUCCCACGAAUAUAACCAGG